UGGCGUGAGCAGCGAUGGCCUCAGAAUGUCUGCGUGGCGCCCGCAGAAUCCAGUUGGAGUGCAAGCUGUGCUCCUGUGAACUGGUCGCCACUGGAAAAGAGAAGCAAGUGACCUGGGCAGCUGGCCACUAUCGGGGGAGCAGAAGAACGAGAAGAGGGGCUUGAAGACUCACAGAAAGAGUACGUGUUUAAGAAAUGCUCACGGUGGAAACACUCCUCAUCAUUACUUACUGCACACGCAGUAAGUAAGAAGGGCAGGAUGGACGUAUGAACUGAGAAGCUCCAUGAGGAAUUCCAGAGAAACAAGCAGGACACUGUUUAUCAAUGUGCCUCUGCUUGAUGCCCCUUUAUUACUCUGGCGUGCAGUUCAUCUCGGGUGCUUUGCACAAUGCAUUGGAUGAACAUGUGUGAAAAUUAUUUGAGAAAAGGACGCCUACCCACAGUGAGGAGCCCAUCACAGCUCUGCAGUGUUAGCUUGCCCUCUGCUCCAGACAUUUCCAAGAAGUGAAGGUAAGAGCAAUGUGUCCUCAAGACCUGAAGGCUGUGGAGACCUAGGAUGGAAAGCAACCAGCAGCAGCCACAGGAAGAAAAUUUAUGCACAGAUUGGGAAAGAAAUACCUAUGACAUGUCUUCUGGUCACCACCCCUCAGGGGGGGUUUCUGCUGAGGGAAAGCAGCCUGGGUCAUGCAGCCCCUGGUGAGAGGGUCUGAGAGCAAGUUACAUGUAGUACUUCCCCCUCCGUGCCACCUCGGUGUCCUGAGGAGAGCACUCUGAUGUCCCACAUAUUACAUGAGCUCAAUCCUCAGUCUCCAAUGGAGAGACGCAAGGAUCCACCACCAACAGUAUCUGACACCAUCCGUGCACGGCCUUACAAAAACCACCUGGUUCCUCCAUGUCAGAUAUGGAGGGAUGUCUGUGGAUGGGUCCUGAUGCACCUUGGUGGGACCACAGGGAAGGGAGAUAGAAUGUGGGAAGCUACUGCUUCUUUUCACUGACACAAAUAUCCUGGUGCCCAAGCCAGGAGGAACCUUAGCCUGUUGGUUCCAUUCUUGGAAAUGCCCUUCUGACUUGUGUGUUAUUCUCUAUAUUGGACAUUCUAACAUUUGAGCAUCCAGACUGCAUCCCAGAUAUAGCCUAUGCACUACACUGACCCAGAAUCCUCAGAUAUGAUUUCUGCUGUUUUUGUGUGUGGGGUGUGUGUGUGUGUGUGUGUGUGUGUGUGUAUGUGUGUGUGUGUGUGUGUGUGUGUGUGUGUGUGUGUAUGUGUGUGUGUAAGAAAGAGAGACAGAGAGAGGGAGAGAGACAGAGAGAGACAGAGACAGAGACAGAGAAUAACAUUCAGAAGUUGGUUCUUUCAUCAUGUCAGUCCUGAGAACUGACUCUGGUUGUCAGGUUUGGUAACAGGUCCCUUUAAUUCUGAAUCAUCUAGCAAGCCCUGUGGUUUCUAUUUUAUGAAUGUCAUAAACAAUGUAGUUUAUUCAUCAUUAUGGUAUCAUCUUUCUCUGUGGUGUGGAGAGAAGAUUGACACAGUAUCUGACUGGGACUCUCACCUAUGCGGUCUUAUUAUACCCACCCCAGAGUCACCUCCCUUCCAGUGUGUUCUCCUUCCUUCCCUCCCCGUGGGAUUCCUUGCACACUCAGGGUUUCUCCAGAGAACUGGGAUAGCAAACCCCUUGGCACCCAGGUGCCAUGCCUUAAUCACACUGAUAUUUCAGAGAAGCUAUUAAAAUGCCUUACUCCAGAGCAGGACACAGUGCAAGUCUUGAUCCAAGGUGUACUUUGAAAUCAGGCUGUGUAUCAUGACCAGUAUGUAAACAAAAUCGAACGGGAAGAGUAGAGUACUACAGAAACACCAGAGGAUCAAGCAAGGAGCAGAUAAAAGUUUACUUCUUACAGCCGGGCGGUGGUGGCGCACACCUUUAAUCCCAGCACUCAGGAGGCAGAGCCAGGCAGAUCUCUGUGAGUUCGAGGCCAGCCUGGUCUCCAAAGCAAGUUCCAGGAAAGACGCAAAGCUACACAGAGAAACCCUGUCUUUAAACCAAAAAAAAAAAAAAAAAAAGUUUACUUCUUAAAAAAAAAUGGUUACAGACUUGGGUAAACUGGCUCAGUAUCUAAAGCAAAGAGGAAAAGACAGUGGCAUCCAGGCUCUGGGGCCAGGAUGUGGGAUGAGGGAUGUGGGACUGCCACAGCAGCCUGGGAUUACAGGAAGCAUGCCUCACUUGGGAAAGCCAGCACUCACAAAAGAUGCCAGACUUUUCAAAUUUAUAAACGUCUGCAAGUGUCCAACGGUGUCUACUGCCGGUCCAGGGAAAGAGAAAAGAAAAAAAAACUGGUUUUGCUUCAAGUCCAUCAGUCUUGCUGCAGUCCAUCCAGGGAUACACAGCUGAACAAGGCACAAGGAGAUGUGAUAAAUGCUGGAACAGAGGUGCAGGGCUGGUGAGAUGGCUCAAGAGGGUAAAGGCGCUUGCUGCCAACCCUGACCAUCUGAGAUAGAGCCCUAGGGUCCAUUUGUUGGAAGACAAGAACCAAUAACCACAAGUUGGCCUCUGAUCUCCACCUGUGGGUCAUGGCAUGUGUGCCUAUCCAUCCAUCCACACAAAUAAAUAAACAGAAUAGUAGUGAAGUGAAUUUAUGCUAAUGCGGGAGAAGAGAAAAUGAAGCUAAUUCUGUAAAAGAGUUUGUACAUGCCUAUAACUGCCAUUAGCAAGGACGAUGUGAAGCAAAUAUAUUGUCUUCCAGUUCUGAAGGUCUGAAGUCUAGGGCUAAGUUGUGGAAAGGGUCAUGCUACCUCCAACAGUGCUGGGUGAGGAUUAGCUCUCAGCCAUUCUCCUAACUUCCAGCAGGCCUUGGUUUGCGGCCACAUGACCGCAAUCUCUCUGUGGCCCUCCCCAGCCUCUGUAGCUGAAUGUAGCUGUAGCUGGAGAGCUUCUCUCCAGGUCCCAUCAAGCCCCGCAGUCCCACAACCCACUUAUAAAAUAAUCACUCAGACGCUUAUAUUACUUAUAAACUGUAUGGUCAUGGCAGGCUUCUUGUUAUCUACUUCUUCUAUCUUGAAUUAACCCAUUUCUAUUAAUCUGUAAGUUGCCACGUGGCUCGUGGCUUACUGGUACCUUACAUCUUGCUUGUCAUGGCGGUGGCUGACAGGUCUCUCCCCCUCAGCCUUCCACUUCCCAGAAUUCUCCUCUCUCCUUGUCCCACCUAUACUUCCUGCCUGGUGACUUUCCAAUCAGUGUUUUAUUUAUAUAGAGCGAUAUCCACAGCAUGUAGCCACCCCUUACAAGGACAGCAAUCAUAGAAAAGGGACCACUUUACUCACAUGGCUUUAUCUUAACCAAUUAUAGCUGCAACAAGGCCUGAUUGUAGCCGCCCUGUCAAGAGUGAAGACAUUAUAGAAUCUAAAAGCUUGGACCCCUCCCUUUGCUGUGAGACUACUGAAACAGUGGGCCCCUGGGAAUUGAAAUUUCCUUAGGUUCUCCUACUGGAGAGAGAGAAAAGUUGACUCCCGAUGCCAGAGGAGGACCUUGCUCCUCAGGAAAAGAUUUCACGCAAUUCUCACAACUUAUCAGAUCACCUUUCAAGACAGACUAGAACCCAGCAACGAUGGAUCAGAGACGGAUGGGGCCACACUUUAAUAGGGACUGUGCUGCUGUGUGUUCUUCCUGCCCUCUGCUGAAAUGUUUUGCUGAGCCCCCAAAAUGGUCUCAGGUGUCGCUUCUUUAUCUGCUCCUCUUCCUGCUGUGGCCACCACUGGGUACUUCUUUCUCUGCUUUUCACAUUCCUUGCCUCUUAAUUGGUCUGUGGAGGAUGGGAAGCCAAGUCCGGCUUGUUAGGGUUGCCAGGGACCAGGCUUUGACUCUCAAAUCUCUGGUAAAAAUGUUGGCUAAGCCAUGAGAAAAGACACACUGAAGUGUCAGUCAUUCGCAGCAAAUUGGCUCCGGGUGGGAAGGAGGGCUGAGCUUCCCACACAGUCCCUAGGACCACUCUAGUCCAAGGACUUUACCUUUCCAGUUCAGUGGGCAUCCGCAGCUUUCUGCUUGUGUUUGGUAAAGCACAGAAAAGAGGGCAUGAACUCCUUGCCCUGAAGUCUGGCCCUCGGGAAGCUCUCCACUUAGCAAGGAACCACCAUGGGCUUCCCCUUCCUUCUUAGUGCAGAGGCAGCUUUGAGCUAUUCGAGUGCUUGUGCAACCAGGAAAAAUAUUGUCUGCACAGGCUUGCCGUCCGUAGGAAGAAUUCUGCUUGACUGGCCUUUCUCACACAUGUGAUGAUUUCAUCUAACACCACCCACUAGAUUAGUCGUUGUUUUCACAUGUCAUUCUGCAUAUGAAAUGGAGCUAGCAAAGCACCCGUCCUAGAGCUCCUGCAAAGAACUGACUGCCAAACCACCUCUGCCCGCUUCAUGUUUGCAUUGAUUGUUUUUUAACUUAUUGCGUGCUAGCAUCUCUGUUCUUGGCACGGCUACUUUAAAAUGUAUAGGAAUAUGAAGGUUUGGGGGACAAUAUUACUACAUAUUACUAUAUUAAUGUGAAAUCCACUCUCUGAUUUGCCUGUCACUGGGCUCUCUCUCCCUCACCCGCCUCUCUCCUCCAUUUUUUUUUUCUCUCUUUGAAAAAGCAGUUAGCUGAAAUAUAGGAAUUCAAAAGUUGACUGUAGACACUGGAGUGAUGGUUCUGUAUAUGAGCAGGUACUGCUCAUCCAGAGGACCAGAGUUCAGCUCCCUGUACCUAUAUCAGGCGGCUCAUAAUCCCUACUAACAUACAGAAGCUGAGCCACCUUAUUCUGUAUAUGAUAGGCAAUAGCCUGUUAUUAAAGCCUUGCCCUCAUGCAUUUCAAGACUUAUUAAUUAUUUACAGGAUAAUUAAUUAAUUAAAAUAUGCUAAUGUUAAGUGUCCAGAAGAGUUCUAAGCAGGCUCUUGCUUGGUCAAUUUCAAGUAUAAACUUAAGAGAGAAAAAAGUAAAGGACUGACCUGUACAUAGAGACAUUCUUACACAGUUUCAGAGCUUUGCUCCACAGGCAACAAAUAUAUAUUUUUUUUCCAUGUUGUGAUGGAAGAAUUUCUCAACUGUAAUGACAAGGGUGUCACCCAAUGCCAAGUCAUUGGUAGCAGAUCAUGCACCGUGUUAUAAAUAAUGUCAAGAGAUUAGGUAUUUGCUCAUCCAGUUUGGCAGUAUGUACAUUACAAACUUAUCAAGCUAGAGCAAACAUCAUUCAUAAAAAGGUAGUGAUAAGUUGAGAGUCUUUGUGUUGGGUCAUUAGAUACUUAUAUUUGUAACAGAAAAUGCUCUUGUAAUGUACGCAAUAGAGUGCUAUAUAUGUAAUCCUCUGACAUAAUAUGAUAAAAUGUUAUUAGAAAUUUUGUUCAUAUUUUAAUGACUUUUUAGGUAUGAAUUUAAUGAUCAUUCAAUGAUUGUAUCAAUAAAUACCAACUGUA